rnacentral:rRNA from 1 species
AUAACCGUAGUAAUUCGUAGGGCUAAGUACGUGCGAAGCGCCGAAGCCGCGAGGCGACGGGCGUUCUCGCCGGAUGUAGGAACCGACCCGGGGGACCGCCGGGGGCAACCCGGCGCCCCCCGAGACGGGGCGAACCACGGUGAAAUGACGGAUCGUCGGCCCCGCGCCGGCGACUCGCCGAAUGAGUUUCUGACCUAUCAACUCGAGACGGCGGGGUAGAGGCCCGCCGCGGUAACGACGGGUAACGGGGAAUCAGGGUUCGAUUCCGGACGAGGGAGCCCGAGAAACGGCUACCACUUCCAAGGAAGGCAGCAGGCGCGCAACUUACCCUAAUCUCGAUUCGAGGAGGUAGUGACAAGAAAUACCGAUGCGGGACCCUACGGGUGCCGCGUUCGGAAUGAGUACGAUUCGAACCACCUAACGAGG